rnacentral:lncRNA from 1 species
CCACAUAUUACAUUUUAGAAAUUUACCCAUAUUCACAUAUGUAGGUUUCCUAGUUAUUUUUAAUGCCCUAUAGUAUUGAUUUCAUGAACCUGCCAUAAUGUAUUCCUGCAUCCUCCUACUGAUGGACAUUUAGAUUGUUUCCCAUUAUUUACCUAUUACAAAGAAUGCUGCAUAGGCAUCCUUCUCACUCGUGCUUCUUUGGGUACCUGUGAGAGAGUUUCUUUGGGAUACAAAUCCAGAGGUAGAAUUGCUAGAUUCAUAAGAUAUGCCCAUCUUCAACAUUACUAGUCAUUGCUAAAUCAUGUUUCCAAAUCACUGUAGCAUUUUAUUGUCAUCUUUGCUCGAGAGUAUUUUUUAGGUUCUUUAUUGAGAUAUAUUUUACAUACCAUAAAAUUUACCCAUUUCAAGUAUACAACUCAACAGUUUUUAGUAUAUGUGCAGAGUUGUGCAACCAGCACUGCAAUCUAAUUUUAGAACAUUUUAAUGUGAUAGCAUUAUUUAUAAAUACACAUAAAAUAUACAGAAAUCUGUAAAGCUUGUUAUGUGUCCUGUCCAAUAUAUACAUGGAAAACCUCCGGAAGGAGCUAGUUUGUAGAGGUCCCCUACAAAUAAUAGAAAAAAACAAUUUUCUUGAUUUAAACCUGUAGUUUGAGUAGGUAGCUGAAAGCAACAUUUCUAAUUAGAUUUGGAAACUGCUUAAAUGCAGGUUCCUGUUACUUGCUAAUAAAAGCAUUUCUAAUUAUUCACCUCAGAGUGAAAAUGACUCAGAACUCACUCUAUCUGAAGAGAAAUAGAAGUGUGUUAAACUAACUAAAGAAGUGAUUUCCCCAGAACAAUUCUUGCUCAUGACAGAAAGGAAGGCAACUGUGAAGGAGUAUAGAUGUUGGAGUAAACAGUUGUGAGAGCAGGUUCAUUGGCAAAGGAGAAGAGAGAAGAGCAAUUGUCUUUCUUUUUUUCCACAAGUUAAUUCGUUGAGCUUUUUUUUUUUUUUUUUUUUGAGACAGAGUCUCACUGUAUCGCCUAGGCUGGAGUGCAGUGGCCAGAUCUAGGCUCACUGCGACCCCUGCUGCCCAGGUUCAAGCAAUUCUCCUGCCUCAGUCUCCUGAGUAGCUGGGAUUACAAGCACCUGCCACCACGCCUGACUAAUUUUUGUAUUUUCAGUAGAGAUGGGGUUUCACCGUCUUGGCCAGGCUGGUCUUGAACUACUGACCUCGUGAUCCACCCACCUUGGCCUCCCAAAGUGCUGGGAUUACAGGCAUGAGCCACCACACCCAGCCUCAUUGAGCUUUUAAUCAAAUAAUUUUCAUGCUCUGAGUUAUUAAUUAAUGGCACUUUCAAGUAUUACUUACCUCAAUCCAAACUUAAUAUGUUAAUUGACAAGAGUAUUGCCACAUAUGACAUAUAUAUAUAUAUAUAUAUAUAUAUAUAUAUAUAUAUAUAUAUAUAUAUAUAUAAGAAAGUUGUCCUUAUCCAGCCGUUAAGUGUUCAAAAUCUAAUAAAUUUUUCUACUUGGAAUCUCAUAAGAAACAUCAGGUCCAUGGACAACAACAUCAGUUCUCUGGUUCAUUCCUUCUGGUCAUUGGCUUAAGGACAUCAACUUCCAGAUGCUGUGGUUUCAUUUCAUCAAGUGCCUGACAGCUUUCUGAAAUUUCCUCCUUGCCCUUCAGACCAUCCACAGGUGUGGAGGGUACGUCACUUUCUGUGACAGCUUAGCAGAUGACCUAAGACCAGGCGGUGUAAGACUGAGAAGAGGAGGAAAGUCACAGAGGCAGCGCAGAUUGCUCAGGGCAAACACACGGAAUCCCACCUUACCAGCAAUGCAGCCAUGGCAACAGCUUCUCACUAGCCCUGGGGCCAGCCCCACCACACUCAUGGAUCAAUGGACUUUCUCUACAGUUGGGAAUAGCCUGACUCCACAGCAUGGCAUGUGGUUUCUUUACCUGCACUGAGGUUUUUUACCUGCAAAAUGUACAGAUAAAGGACCUGAAAUCCUUUGCCUGCACUGAAAUGAUUCUCCUGAAUUAGAUACUAAUAUUGAGCCACUCUACACCCUUUGAAUACUUGGGCCCCAACUCAGAUUUCCUUUGCAACAAGACUGUGAAAACCACUUUGAUCUCUUUUUUGCAGGGUCCUUUGCUGGGCAGACAGAUGACUCAGUGAAAUCUAGUCUAUUUAUUCGUUACUGGAGAGGAAGUGAUUAAGCUUUCCAGGCUGGAACAACAUCCACCAUCAGGAACUGGGAUUGGGCCUUAGGAAUGAGCUGUUGCAAAUGAGAGGGCCAAGGGAAGUUAUUUCUGUUACUAGUGGUGUUACCUUCUAUGCAGUGAAGUGGUUUUGACAACCAAUGCAUUAGGAUCUGCAAAAUUGAAGGAUGAGGGACUGAAGCGGAAAACAUCCCUGACUUGUGCUGGAAAGCGUUAACCCCAGCAAACAGCUUGUUGAAUUCAAGGCAGAACUUAAGUUAGUCAGGAAAGAAAGGAGCAGAGUAGACUAGUGAUACUCUUACUCCCUUCUCCACCCAACCCAAGGGGAAUAGUAUAACUAAACUCAUACAGCCUAUUCCCAAAUGAGGCAAAAUUAUCUGGGAGUUGCUAAGCCCCAGAAAAGAGCUAAAUUAAACGGAUUACACCCUCUGCCCUCCAUAAUCAAAUGAACACAAAGUUGAUCCACCAUUUUUAAGUGUAAGGAGCAACAAAACUCCACUGAAGGCAUCCAGGUCUGAGCCAUUCUUCCUCCUAACUGACUUCAAAGCUGGCACUCCUAGACUCCAUUUUCCUGCUUUUCUAGUUUAUGGCUCAACUUUCUACUUGUUAGAAUCAUGGCACCAUGCUCUUGCAUCCUUCAUGCCACCAGCUUCCUCCGCACUCAUACUCAUCAUUAACAGCUCACACAUCUCUUGCUGAUCAAGGGGGCUCCUCUGCUUUUCAGUGCCUGACUGGGGGCUGUACUGCACAUGGGAACAAGGCCUGGCAUCUUCCUUUGUCUUUGUUUAAAAUCUAUUCCCUACAAGUUGCGAGGUUUCCAAGGAUAGGAUUGUGGGUAUGUAAAAAUGCAUAUGUGUCCUGCCCGCCAACCCAUGCUGCAUAUUGAAUGUGUGUAGGCAACAAAAAAUAGUUCUAGUAGCAUAGAUAUGGUAGCUAUAUGUGAGGCACUAGCUCAUUAAAUCCUCAAAAUGACCUUUCAGGGAGGUAUUUAUGAUCUUUAUUUUUAGAUGAGGACAUUAAAACUCAAAAAAAUUAAGUGUCUUUUUAAGAACAUCACUUACAGAGGACAGAGGUGGAAUUCAAAUCCAGGUAGUCUGACUCAGAAACGGUGUUGGAAGAUGUUUGGAUGCAGGGAGGCUAGGAGGUGUCCACUCAGGGUAGGGGUAGGGAGAAUUUUGAAAUAAUGGAACCAGCUGGGAGUCAGAUGGCUCUUUAUCAUUACUGGGUAUCAACAAUUUUCAAUAAUGCAGUGAUGAAUUAUUUUUUCCAUAUGGGUGGACCACUCCUAUCAUCUUAUUAGGCUGGACACUGUCAUGUCUGUAUACAGUGUCGGACACUGGAGCAGCCAGGCUACACCUUGGAAGGGAGCUCAACCGAAACACUGAGAAUGGAAGAGCAAAAAGAUGGAAAGAACCUGGGUUUGUUUUUUUACCUUUUCUUUUUUUUUUUAAUUACAAGUUGAGCAUCUCUAAUAUGAAAAUCCAAAAUCCAAAACACUUCUGGUCCCAAGCAUUUUGGAUAAGGGAUAUUCAACUUGUAUUGUGGUAAAAUAUAUAUAACAUAAAAUCUAUCAUUUUAGCCAUAUUUAAGUGUACAAUUCAGUGGUAUUAAGUACAUUUCGCAAUGUUGUGUGUCAUCACCAUUACCCAUUUCCAGAACGUUUUCAACAACCCCAAACAGAAACUCUGUACCCAUUAAACAAUAGCUCCAUAUUCCUCCCUGCCCUCAGCCCCUGGUAACCUCUAUUCUUUCUGUCUCUGUGAAUUUACCUUAUAUAAGUGGAAUCCUAUAAUAUUUGUCCUUUUGUAUCUGGCUUAUUUUACUUAGCAUAAUGUUUUCAAGGUUCACCCAUGUUAUGGUAUGUAUCAGAAUUUCAUUCCUUUUUAGAACUGAAUAAUAUUUCAGUAUAUGACUGGGAUUUUAAUGACACAUUUGAGCCCCUGUACCUUGGCGGACCUCUUGUUAAGUCGGAUAAUAUUUUUUUCUUAUGGUUUAGGCCACGUGGCGUGGGGUUUUCCUAACUGAUACAUGAGGCUCAACUCGGGUUCUCCCCUGUAAAGCUCCAGGGUGGGCAAUAAGGCCCACAGAGUACUCAAAAUGAAAGCUCCCCAGCAUAGUGCAAAAUUUCCCAUAUUUCCUGAUAUGUGUAUGUACCUAGAUAUGUACAUGUGUGUAUGGGUGUGUGCACACGCACAUAUGUACACAACAAACAUGACAAAGCCCACACCUUUACCUGUUUUCAUCCUCAGUUUAGCUAUUUUGUUACAAUUGAUAAUUUCAACAUAUAUAAUAAUUCAGCACUUAACAUUUUUUUUUUUUUUUUUUUUUG